GGUUAAGCGACUAAGCGUACACGGUGGAUGCCCUGGCAGUCAGAGGCGAUGAAGGGCGUGCUAAUCUGCGAUAAGCGCCGGUAAGGUGAUAUGAACCGUUAUAACCGGCGAUACCCGAAUGGGGAAACCCAGUGUGACUCGUCACACUAUCAUUAACUGAAUCCAUAGGUUAAUGAGGCGAACCGGGGGAACUGAAACAUCUAAGUACCCCGAGGAAAAGAAAUCAACCGAGAUUCCCCCAGUAGCGGCGAGCGAACGGGGAGGAGCCCAGAGCCUGAAUCAGCAUGUGUGUUAGUGGAAGCGUCUGGAAAGGCGCGCGAUACAGGGUGACAGCCCCGUACACAAAAGCGCAUGUGCUGUGAGCUCGAUGAGUAGGGCGGGACACGUGGUAUCCUGUCUGAAUAUGGGGGGACCAUCCUCCAAGGCUAAAUACUCCUGACUGACCGAUAGUGAACCAGUACCGUGAGGGAAAGGCGAAAAGAACCCCGGCGAGGGGAGUGAAAAAGAACCUGAAACCGUGUACGUACAAGCAGUGGGAGCACCCUUUGGGGUGUGACUGCGUACCUUUUGUAUAAUGGGUCAGCGACUUAUAUUCUGUAGCAAGGUUAACCGAAUAGGGGAGCCGGAGGGAAACCGAGUCUUAAUUGGGCGUUAAGUUGCAGGGUAUAGACCCGAAACCCGGUGAUCUAGCCAUGGGCAGGUUGAAGGUUGGGUAACACUAACUGGAGGACCGAACCGACUAAUGUUGAAAAAUUAGCGGAUGACCUGUGGCUGGGGGUGAAAGGCCAAUCAAACCGGGAGAUAGCUGGUUCUCCCCGAAAGCUAUUUAGGUAGCGCCUCGUGAAUUCAUCUCCGGGGGUAGAGCACUGUUUCGGCUAGGGGGCCAUCCCGGCUUACCAACCCGAUGCAAACUGCGAAUACCGGAGAAUGUUAUCACGGGAGACACACGGCGGGUGCUAACGUCCGUCGUGAAGAGGGAAACAACCCAGACCGCCAGCUAAGGUCCCAAAGUCAUGGUUAAGUGGGAAACGAUGUGGGAAGGCCCAGACAGCCAGGAUGUUGGCUUAGAAGCAGCCAUCAUUUAAAGAAAGCGUAAUAGCUCACUGGUCGAGUCGGCCUGCGCGGAAGAUGUAACGGGGCUAAACCAUGCACCGAAGCUGCGGCAGCGACGCUGAUGCGUUGUUGGGUAGGGGAGCGUUCUGUAAGCCUGCGAAGGUGGCCUGUGAGGGUUGCUGGAGGUAUCAGAAGUGCGAAUGCUGACAUAAGUAACGAUAAAGCGGGUGAAAAGCCCGCUCGCCGGAAGACCAAGGGUUCCUGUCCAACGUUAAUCGGGGCAGGGUGAGUCGACCCCUAAGGCGAGGCCGAAAGGCGUAGUCGAUGGGAAACGGGUUAAUAUUCCCGUACUUGGUGUUACUGCGAAGGGGGGACGGAGAAGGCUAUGUUGGCCGGGCGACGGUUGUCCCGGUUUAAGCGUGUAGGUGUGUGUUCCAGGUAAAUCCGGUUCACUUUAACACUGAGGCGUGACGACGAGGCACUACGGUGCUGAAGCAACAAAUGCCCUGCUUCCAGGAAAAGCCUCUAAGCAUCAGGUAACAUCAAAUCGUACCCCAAACCGACACAGGUGGUCAGGUAGAGAAUACCAAGGCGCUUGAGAGAACUCGGGUGAAGGAACUAGGCAAAAUGGUGCCGUAACUUCGGGAGAAGGCACGCUGACACGUAGGUGAAGUGAUUUACUCAUGGAGCUGAAGUCAGUCGAAGAUACCAGCUGGCUGCAACUGUUUAUUAAAAACACAGCACUGUGCAAACACGAAAGUGGACGUAUACGGUGUGACGCCUGCCCGGUGCCGGAAGGUUAAUUGAUGGGGUCAGCGCAAGCGAAGCUCCUGAUCGAAGCCCCGGUAAACGGCGGCCGUAACUAUAACGGUCCUAAGGUAGCGAAAUUCCUUGUCGGGUAAGUUCCGACCUGCACGAAUGGCGUAAUGAUGGCCAGGCUGUCUCCACCCGAGACUCAGUGAAAUUGAACUCGCUGUGAAGAUGCAGUGUACCCGCGGCAAGACGGAAAGACCCCGUGAACCUUUACUAUAGCUUGACACUGAACAUUGAGCCUUGAUGUGUAGGAUAGGUGGGAGGCUUUGAAGUGUGGACGCCAGUCUGCAUGGAGCCGACCUUGAAAUACCACCCUUUAAUGUUUGAUGUUCUAACGUGGACCCGUAAUCCGGGUUGCGGACAGUGUCUGGUGGGUAGUUUGACUGGGGCGGUCUCCUCCUAAAGAGUAACGGAGGAGCACGAAGGUUGGCUAAUCCUGGUCGGACAUCAGGAGGUUAGUGCAAUGGCAUAAGCCAGCUUGACUGCGAGCGUGACGGCGCGAGCAGGUGCGAAAGCAGGUCAUAGUGAUCCGGUGGUUCUGAAUGGAAGGGCCAUCGCUCAACGGAUAAAAGGUACUCCGGGGAUAACAGGCUGAUACCGCCCAAGAGUUCAUAUCGACGGCGGUGUUUGGCACCUCGAUGUCGGCUCAUCACAUCCUGGGGCUGAAGUAGGUCCCAAGGGUAUGGCUGUUCGCCAUUUAAAGUGGUACGCGAGCUGGGUUUAGAACGUCGUGAGACAGUUCGGUCCCUAUCUGCCGUGGGCGCUGGAGAACUGAGGGGGGCUGCUCCUAGUACGAGAGGACCGGAGUGGACGCAUCACUGGUGUUCGGGUUGUCAUGCCAAUGGCACUGCCCGGUAGCUAAAUGCGGAAGAGAUAAGUGCUGAAAGCAUCUAAGCACGAAACUUGCCCCGAGAUGAGUUCUCCCUGAGACUUAGAGUCUCCUGAAGGAACGUUGAAGACGACGACGUUGAUAGGCCGGGUGUGUAAGCGCAGCGAUGCGUUGAGCUAACCGGUACUAAUGAACCGUGAGGCUUAACCUU
rnacentral:rRNA from 1 species